UUCAAGAGCAUUGUAUGAUAGGUCAAGAUAUGUGAUAGAAGUGAGAUUUCCAAUAUCAUUUGGAACGAUACCAUGAAAAUUGUUAGACUCAGUAUUGAGGGAUCCAAGAUCGAGGUGUUCAAGGCUAGUUAUAUGAUAUAACCAAUCAGGAAUAGGAGAAGUGAAGUAGUUAUAAGAAAGAUCUAGGAAUCUAAGAGAAGUCAUGUUACGAAGACUUGAUGGAAUUGGGCCCUGAAUAUUGUUAAAUGCUAGAUUAAGAGUAACAAGAGAAUUAAGAUUAGCAAACCGAUCAAAUGAUAUAGAAAUAAAAUAAUUAUUUGAAAGGUCAAGGAUGACUAGAGAUGAAAAAUUGACAUGUGGGAGAGGGUCAAUAGUUUGAAGCCCACACGUCGACAAGCGCAACACAGAUAAAGAAUGGAACUUGUUCAUUACCUGUAACCAAUUUGAUGCUUUGCUUAGGUUCACACCUGUCAUGUCAAGGAACUCUAGGAAGGUAAGACCAAAAAUCCACUCAAGAUCCUCAGCAUUCAAAUAAGAAUUCCCAAUGUCAAGAUAAUGCAACUUGGAUAAAUUUCCGAGUUGAUGAGGAAUAACACCACCAAAAUCUGCACUAGAGAGGUUAAGAUAUCUUAAAUUGGAGAGGGCACCAAAGAAUUUUGGAAUAUUAAGGAACCCAAAGUAAUUACAGCUCAAGUCCAAGUAUCGAAGAUGCUUCAAGUCCAACAAAGAACUACUUAUCUCACCACCCAGAGAACCAUGAUCUGGAUAAAGAUCCCGUCGGAGGUUGAGCUUGAGAACAUGUCCUGUUGUGUUGUGACAACGAACUCCUUCCCAAUUACAACACUCUUCACUGACCCAAGAAGAGAGUCUAUUUGAAGGAUCAUGAAUGCCUCUUUUGAAGCUCUAAAGAGCUUCUCUUUCUUCUUCUCUGCAAAGAGCCUUUGGACUAUGCCCAGCACAAAAACCGAACUUUGUGAUUGUAGUGAAAAGAAAAUAGAGCAAGAGAACCACUAAACCUCUCAUGUACAACUCCAUUAGGCGAGAUGAUUUUAGAGCACACAAUGUGAAGGGUUUCAAGGAUUAUCUAAUAUUUAUAGUCAUUAGAGACAUGGCCGACAAGACUAUAGUGUUGCCUUAUUCUAAAAAUUUCUGAUGUCGAUAGGUCAAUUUAUUGUGUUAAAAAAGGAUAGCUGUGGAGUGUGGACUAGCUGUGUAUACGGAUAGGUUUCGUGGAAAAGAAAAUACAUGAAAUGGCAUAAUUACACUUGCUAUGAUGUAAGUUUAGAAAAGUAUUUCCAUGUUCUGCAAUUUUAAGUAAAAUCCAAUACUAUUAAAGAUGACAUAAUUAUAUAUUUUAUUAAAUAUAUAAUGCCGAUCUUGUCUCCAAUAACUUGUCGGUUGGAGUUCACUCUGGCUUUGAUAUUUUUACAAACUAAAUAAUUUUUAUUUAAGGAGAAUCUUAUUAGUAUUUUAUUUUUAUCAUUUUUCAUGUUAUUCAAAUAUAUGUAAAUCAUUUUCUCUUAUAUUUUUCUCUUUUAUUUAAUUAGCAUGUUUUAGGAACCAAACUUCAUCUUAAAAUUUUAGAAUAAGUUCAUUGCAUAAAUAAUUAAAAAAACAUUUCAUACAAAUGAUGGUUAAUACAUGUAUAUAUAAGAAAGUACAAGACAUUAGUUUUUAGAAAACAUUGGAUAGGGAUGGCAACGAGAUGAGUUCAGGAUGGAUUAUCUCCAUCCCAACCUCAUCCCAUUUAUUUAUAUCUAUUUUGGCUCAUCCCCACAAAAAAAAAAAAAAAAAAAAAAAAAAAAACAUUUAAAGAGGGCAAUAAAUGAGAAAGUAUAAGACAUUAGUUUCUAGAAACCAUUGGAUAAGGAUGGUAAAGGAGCAAGAUGGAUCACUCUCAUCCAAAUCUCAUCCCAUUUAUUUAUAUCUAUUCUCAUCCUUGCUAAAAAAAAUAAAAUAAUAAAAUUAAAUAGGGUUGGGUAGAAUUGGUAUAGGAAAUUCCAAUAAUCCCCAUAUGCCUCAUUUAUUUUUUAUUUUAAAAAUUUUAAAUAUUAUCUAUCAAUAAAGAAAUAUUAUAAAUAUUUAUAAUUUUGAAAAGUAAUAUUUUAUGUAUGUUAAAAAAUUUUGAAAAAAAACAAAAAACGAAAAUAAUUUUUUUAUUUAGAAUUACAUAUAAUUGGGGUGGGGUAGAGUGGGAAAAAGUUGUACCUAAACUCGCCCCAAACCCAUCUUGGUUUUUAAAACUUCACAAACUUGUCUUGAACCCAUUUAUCUUUAUCCCAAUCUCUUCCUAUUUGGGGAGGGAUGGGUAGGUAUUCAAAAAAACCUAUUCCAUUGUCAUCCCUACUAUUGGACCAUGAUGAAAUUAUCAUACAUUUUAUAUUAAAGAGUAAAAAUCACUUUAUAAAAGUAGAGAUACAUGUAGUAUGUACCACGCAUAAAUAUAAUGUUACACAUUAAUGUUAUACCUAUAACAGUAUCAUGACCUUAGCUUUCUCCGUGUGAAAAAUUUUAAAAUAUCAAGGAUUAUUUUUGGUAGUAGAAGGAUGACUCUCUCUUACCGUGGUUGACUUGCAAGUAAUGAGAGUGACCGUGACAAAAUUUUCCAUGAAAAGAAGAAAAGAUGAUCAUAUGGUCUUGUCCUCUUUGUGAUUUCCUCUACCAUAUUGCCCAACUAGUAAAAACCAAUGUCAUGGGAAUAUGGUCUGUUUGCAAUUAGGCUUGGUCGUGCUUGACUAGCAAAGAGGCAAAUGACAAAAUCUUCUGGGUUUUCUAAGUUAAUUAAAAGAAAAAUGCAAUUUUUCAAAUGAAAAUGUAAUUUCUAUUUCUCCGAGGAUACAUAAAUUUGUAUCUCCUCAUUCAAUAUGCCUUAUACACGAAGUAGUUUUAGGAUCAUCAUUUUUUCUCACUAAAUAAAAGAAGCUAUUGGCAACAGUGAUAAGUAUAGCCAUUAGCAGCAAAAAGAAGAUCGUGCAACCUUUAAUCACAGCUACUUAAAAGCCCAUUAAAACUUGCUUGCAUUUUAUAGAUGUAUUUUCAUCUUCAUUUCCAUGAAGAAAAUUUGGCAAUCAAAGAUAUAAUAUAUAUAUAUAUAUCUGUAUAGAACUUCACAUGUAUAUCUCAUUAGAGGACAUCUAUUCCUCUAUUUGCAUACAUAAUAAUCCAAAUUAUAUGUUUUAAUUUUUUGGGUCAACUUUCCACAUAGUUAGGAACAAAUAAUGAAAAAAAAAAAGUCAUCUAUUGACUCUUCUCGCUACCCAACAGCAGAAGCAGACAAUUGGCCUGUAGGUAGUGAGGGCACGAGCUUGACCCAUAGGCUAUGAAAAUGAGAUGGCUUUUAAAAAACUGCAUGCAGAAAUUGAAAGAAAUGAAAUUUUAAGCAACACGCCAAUGUGUAUAUACACAGUGGACAAUGAUCUUUGCCCGUAGGUGGUGAAAAUGAGAUGGCUUUAAAAAACUGCAUGCAGAAAUUGAAAGAAAUGAAAUUUUAAGCAACACGCCAAUGUGUAUAGACACAGUGGACAAUGAUCUUUGCCCGUAGGUGGUGAGGCAUGAGCUUGACCCAUAGGCUAUGAAAAUGAGAUGGCUUUUAAAAAACUGCAUGCAGAAAUUGAAAGAAAUGAAAUUUUAAGCAACACGCCAAUGUGUAUAUACACAGUGGACAAUGAUCUUUGCCCGUAGGUGGUGAGGCAUGAGCUUGACCCAUAAGCUAUGAAAAUGGGAUGGCUUUUAAAAACUGCAUGCAGAAAUUGAAAGAAAUGAAAUUUUAAGCAGCACGCCAACGGGGAAUCUAAAGCUCAAAAUGUGGAAUUCCUGUUGUCAAUGCAAUAUAUAUAUAUAUAUAUAUAUAUAUAUAUAUAUAUUUCCUUCAACACAGUGGACAAUGAUCUUUGCCCAUAGGUAGUGAGGGCAUGAGCUUGACCCAAAGGCUAUGAAAUGAGAUGGCUUUAAAGAACUGCUUGCAAAAGUUGAAAGAAAUGAAAUAUAUAUAUAUAUAUAUAUAUAUUUCCUUCAACACAGUGGAAAAUGAUCUUUGCCCGUAGGUAGUGAGGGCAUGAGCUUGACCCAGAGGCUAUGAAAUGAGAUGGCUUUAAAGAACUGCUUGCAGAAGUUGAAAGAAAUGAAAUUUUACUCAGCACGCCAAUGUGGAAUUCCCGUUGUCAAUGCAUUUGAUAACGAAGUUCAGACUCAUAAAAUUAAAAGUUUAGAGUAAAGAGAGAAAUUGAAGUUGAAGGUCAAGCCAUGAAAAGCCUGGGAACUUGAGGGAUUAGUUUUAAAUUCAAUUCAGCCGGCCGGCCAAAGCCACAAAAGGAACUUGGUUUCUCCUGUUGAGUAAUGGUGUUUACAUAAGUCGGCCCCUUUUCUCCCUCAAUAUGCCUAAGACAUGGUUGUAGGGUCUUUCUAACAAGAACUGAAAGGAGUUGUUAAUUAAUGUGGUGAUAAUAAACUACAGAACUUUUGUCAUGAAACAAUUGCUAUAGGUUCAAUAUCAUUUGUGAUUUGCUUAUAAAUUUAUCCAGAAUUGUAUUUCAUAUCUCACUGUUAAAUGUGUCUUUAUUUUUCCUUCCAUUACUUCAUGUACCUUUUUCGAAUGGAUAAUGAUUCUAGAGAAUAUUUAGCAAUGUGAAAGAUUAAGGUAAUGUUUGAUAAAAUAAAAAAUAAUUGGCAAUGUGCACUUAAAUCCUUUUUUCCAUGGUUAUUCCUUGUGCUUCAAAUGUCCCUAUACGUUUAGUGCCUUGGCCUCUACGCUCUGAGCGAGCCUCAACCUUGUUAAGAGUGCCUCAUGUUCAUCCUUGUUGUUCAUAACAUCGAAGCCUAGGCAUUCGAAUGGCCUUCUUAGGGUCAUAUCUUUAGGAGAUACUAAGGCCACCCAUGCUUUUGUAUGGACGUGGCUGUAGCUGAGCUGUCCACCCUAAAUUCCCAUGGCAAACUUAUGCUUAGGUUAGAUUCUCAUGUCAUGUCUGAUUCUUUACUUUUCGUGAAGUCUACCAGGAAAUUUGCAACCAUUUAUGUCUUCAAGGUGAUUGGCAUACAUGAGUCUGUUAAUUAUUAAUCAUAGCUGGUUUUAAAGAAACUUUCAGAGUUCUUGGCAUUGUUAUAAUCCUUUUAUCUGGCAUUAGGAUUUCGUCUUUGACAAGCAAACGUUCAGAAUGAGACCCUUGGGUGAUAAAAUGAUUAUAUAAAUUGCAAAGGUUUAAGGAACUGCUACAACAAACCAUGGCAAUCAACUUUGUGGAAACUGAAUGGAGUAAAUUACAGUAAGAUCGCAAAGUACUUGAGGUUGCAGUGAGGCAGCAACUUCAUGAAAAAAGACAAGUCCAAGUGCAAAAGCUAUAUAAUUUUUAUUAAUGAUGCCAAGCUAUAAGCCACAAAUGGAUAAUAAAUGGUGAAUGAAAGACUAGAAAAUGGAGUCAAGAUGAUAAGACUGAAUAUGUGAGCAGUUGAAACAAAUAUGAAUAUUGAAAGUAUAAAGCGACAAUGAGGUAGUGAAUUUCAUUAUCAUUGUGGAAGUAGCUUGAAAAUGCUGAACUCACCUACCUCUGAAGAUACUUCAGCUGUGGUUGCCAAGAAAAGUGAGUAAAGGCUAGGAAAGAAAAUAAAAAUUUUAAAUCAAGGAACCACCUGGGGCGGAUUUCAUCUAGGAAGAAAGAAACAUUUUAUGGGUUUUGCAAUAACUCAAAAUUUUAUUUCACAGAUUGCUUCUCUUACAUAUACAAUGACAUGAGAUCUGUUUGCAGUGAUUAACAUUUCUCUUGAUUAGAUGUGUUAGACUGACACUUCUAUCCAAAUAUUUAUUUUUUUGGUGUUUUUGAGUCAUGAAAACUCCAUGUUAGAUUUAUCUGAGCAACCGAAAUUAAUAGUCACAAAAGGAAAGUUAGGAUAUGAGUGUUGGGUUUCCCUUCUUUGUGGGACUCUUAAAUUUACUAAAUAUGGUUUUGCUAUUUUUGGCCAACACCUUGGUUAGCACAUGACUCUUGGCAUAUUCAAGAUUGGUUUGAAGUCUUCAAGGAAAGAAAAAGCUACAAGUCUUUUUGUCUUUUCCUUGGGUUCAUUAUCUUGGUCGGAAAGAAGACUUUUGGGAUACCUUUUUGGUUCAAACAAAAUAAAAAGAAAAUCAGCCUUCUUCUUCUCUAUUUUUUUUUGGUGCUACACAAUCAGCAAGUUUGUUCUUCAAGUGGGUAACGUUCCUUCACUUGAUAUUUGGGGUUUCUUGCGGUUUGUUCUUGGAGAUUUGGUUUACUUUUGUGAGGUAUUUUUCCUCUUGUAAUUUACACCUUGGUGUGUUUGUAAGGCUUAUGCCUUUUGGCCACUUUGUAAACUCUUUUGGUGAUAGUGGAAGAAACUGACCUACCGGUCGUCGUGGACGUACCUCAAGUUAUUUGAGGGAACCACGUAAAUCUUGUGUGCUCAUUUAUUUUCUGUUAUUCUAUUUAUAUUGCUUCCAUUGAUUUACACUUGUGGGAAAGCCUAGUUUUUUUUCAACAUCUGGUAUCAGAGCUGUUGGUUAAUUCGAUUCCGAUUCGUUAUAUUUGUGUGUGUGAAUUAUGGACGGCAAUGUUGGGCGUAUGGUUAGUUUCAAUGGCACAAAUUGGGUGACUUGGAAAACUAAAAUGGAAGACCUUUUGUUUUGUAAAGAUUUGAAUGGACCCAUAGAGGGUGAUAGUGGCAAACCGGAAGGGAUGAAAGAUGACGAGUGGAAAAAGCUAGACCGAAAAGCUGUCGGUUUUAUUCGGCAAUGGAUUGAUGAUAGUGUCUUUCAUCAUGUCUCUACAGAAAAUUCAGCACAUGGUCUUUGGACCAAAUUGGAGAGUCUUUAUGAUAGAAAGACGGCCGUGAAUAAAGCUUUUUUAUUUCGAAAGCUUGUGAAUUCUAAAUAUAAGGAGGGUACUCCUAUUGCAGAGCAUUUGAAUGAGAUUAAGAGCAUUGUGAAUCAAUUGGCCGCCAUGAAAAUUACCUUUGAUGAUGAGUUGCAAGCUUUGUUACUUCUUAGUUCACUUCCUGAAAGCUGGGAAACUUUGGUGGUCACAGUUAGUAACUCCACACCUGAUGGAGUGGUAACAAUGAGUCAAGUUACUAGCAGCCUGUUGAAUGAAGAGACAAGAAGAAAAUCAUCAGGUUCUUCUCACUCCGAGGCACUUGUGAUAGAAAAUCGAGGGAGAGGCAGGAGUAAGAGUAAGGCUUCGCACAACCGUGAUAAAUCUAGAGGUCGUUCAAGCUCGAUUUCAAAGAAAGAUGUUGAGUGCUAUUAUUGUCACAAGAAAGGGCACAUGAAGCGGGAGUGCAGAAAACUCAAGUUCAAGGAGCAGAACAAAGAGAAAAAUUCAGAGAAAAAGCAAAAUGAUACAGCUGUAGUUACCGAUGGUGAACUCAUGAUUAUUCGUGAUGAUGUUAGCGUUAAUUUGAUUGGCCAAGAGACGGAUUGGGUAAUUGAUUCUGGAGCUUCAUUUCAUGUUACUUCGCGGGCUGAUUUCUUUACUUCUUACUCGCAAGGUGAUUUUGGGAAUGUCCGUAUGGGAAAUGAAGAUGUGUCAAAAAUUGUCGGCAUGGGUGACAUUUGCUUGGAAACAAAUACUGGAUGCAAAUUGUUGCUUAGAGAUGUGAGGCAUGUACCGGAUAUUCGGCUCAAUUUAACGGAACUGAUAUUUUUGCAAAAAUCUGCAAGUGUGUUGUGAAUACCUUAGAGAAUGACUCAUCCACCGAUUUAUGGCAUAGAAGGCUUGGACAUAUGAGUGAGAAAGGAUUGCAAGUUUUAUCCAAGAAAGAGCUUCUAGCGGGGAUAAAAGGUACGCCUUUGAAAACAUGUGUUCAUUGUUUCCAUGGUAAACAAAAUAGAAUAUCAUUCCGUAGAAACAUUGCAUUUAGAAAAUCUCAUGUUCUAGAUUUGAUACAUUCUGAUGUGUGUGGUCCUUUGAAAGUUAGGACACUUGGUGGUGCUCAAUACUUUGUCACUUUUAUUGAUGAUCACUCUAGAAAAGUUUGGGCUUAUACACUGAAAACUAAAGAUCAAGUUCUAGAUGUGUUUAAGCAUUUUCAGGCCAAGGUUGAAAGAGAAACUGGUAGACAGUUGAAAUGUGUCCGCUCGGAUAAUGGUGGUGAAUAUAUUGGACCAUUUGAUCAGUAUUGCACUAAUCAUGGCAUCAGGCACGAAAAGACAGUAAAAAAGACACCUCAACAGAACGGGGUUGCAGAGAGAAUGAAUCGCACCAUUCUUGAGAGAGUCAGAUGUUUGCUCUCACAUUCUAAAUUGCCAAGAUCUUUUUGGGGUGAGGAAAUGAGGACAGCAGUUGAUCUUAUCAAUUUGUCUCCUUCAGUUCCGUUGAAUGACAAAUUUGUCUCCUUCAGAUCUCAUGUACGCAAAUUGUUGUAUGACAAAUUUAAAUGGCUCAAAAAUGAUAUUUUUGCCAUACCUUGAGGAAUAACACCAGAAAGUCUGUUCAUGGAGAGAUCAAGAGACUCCAUUGAUGUCAUGGCCCCAAUCUUCACAGGAAUCUUCCCUUGGAGAUGGUUAUUAGACAGGUUCAAGAAUACCAAACCAUGGAGACCUGUGAGUUCUUCUGGGAUCUCACCAGAUAACUUAUUGCUUGAGAGGUCCAUGCCAGCUAGGAGGCCAAGAAUAUUGCUGUACUCGUACUCUACUCCUUUCAUAACCAGUGUUGCUGUGUCGGUUGAUCCCGAUUCAAAAUAACGUUCAUUAUGAAAAGGAAAGGGGGAACUUGAAUUCGAUUGUUUGAUCAUGCUGCUGAAAUUACCAAAGCAUCUGGGAAUGGUUCCGGAGAGAUUGUUGUUUCCCAAGUCCAGGAUUUGAAGGGAAUGAAGGUGGCAAAGUUCAAGAGGAAUACUUCCAUUGAACUUAUUUGAAUGAAGGACAAGAACCAUUAGACCCGGUGUAUAUGUAAUCUCACCAUCCCCUGGUAAUAUUUCAAUGAACUUUCCAUUGAAGUUCCCCAUCCAUGCUGGUAUCGUCCCAGUGAAUUCAUUCUUACUAAGGUCUAGAACCACUAGACUAGAGCAAUUUUUCAAUGGAAGUGGAUAAUUUCCGGAGAGAUGGUUGUUGCGCAAGUGCAAUGAACCGAGCCAAAUUAGAGAACCCAUGGAGCUAGGUAUAUGUCCCGUCAGAUUAUUAUUUCCCAAUUUUAACAUCGUCAAUUCUCUCCAAUACAUCCAACAAUUGGGAAGUUCUCCUGACAGAAGAUUUCCUGAGAUGUCUAGAGACUCCAAUAAAUUUACUUCUUUAUCAGUUCUCCGACACAACAUGGGUGAAAGAGAUCCACAGAAUAAAUUAUUGGAGAGGUCUAGUCUUUCUACAUCAGAAGAGAUUUGGGGCAGUGGAUCAGUAAAAUUGUUUGAGCCAAGAUUGAUUGAUGAAAAAUGUAAACUUGGAAUACUACCAAUGAUUUGGUUGUGAGAUAGAUCUACAGUACUAAGUGAUCGAGUCCAAAACCAAGCUGGGAUGACACUGGAGAUUCCUGCAUAGGACAUGUUUAGAUCUUCCAAAUACUCCUGUGUUUGAAGCCAUGCAGGAAAUUGAGGCCCUAGAAGGCAAGAACCCAAGUAUAAGUAUGUGAGUUGAAAAGGAGGAGUCCAGUUGGAGCUGACUUGCAAAGUUAACAAGUUUGAAGAUGCAUCCAAUUCUUCUAAACUUGUUAGAUUGCCAAGGUGCUUUUCAGACAUAAUACCCUUGAAGAAAUUUUCCCUAAUGUUUAGAUAACUUAAGGAUGAAAUUCCUCCUAAUGAGAUAGGAAUCUGACCAGAAAACAAGUUUCUAUCAAUGGAAAGGUAGGAUAAACUUUUGAAUUGGCCAAUUUCACUGGGCAAAUAACCUUAAAGCUGAUUCAUUCCCAAGUCUAAAUGCUCUAAACUUUUACAUUCUCCGAGAGUAUCUGGAAAAGAACCCGAAAGUUUAUUUCCUCUCAACCUUAAAAGCUCUAGACCUUUUUGAGGCCUAUCAUAUGACAAAUUCGAAAGUUGGAAAGUACAAAGAUUUCCUAGAGAUCUUAGUAUUUCUCCUUCAAGAGCAUUGUAUGAUAGGUCAAGAUAUGUGAUAGAGGUGAGAUUUCCAAUAUCAUUUGGAAGCUUACCUUGAAACUUGUUAGAUACAAUGUCAAGGGAUCCAAGAUCGAGGUGUUCAAGGCUAGUUAUAUGAUAUAACCAAUCAGGAAUAGAAGAAGCAAAAUUGUUAUAGGAAAGAUCUAGGAAUCUAAGAGAAGUCAUGUUACGAAGACCUGAUGGAAUUGGACCUUGAAUAUAACUGGAUGCUAGAUUAAGAGUAACAAGAGAAUUAAGAUUCGCAAACCAAUCAAAUGAUGAAGACAUAAAAUAAUUAAUUGAAAGGUCAAGGAUGACUAAAGAUGAAAAAUUGACAUGCGGGAGAGGGUCAAUAGUAUGAAGCUCACAAUAAGAUAAGCGUAGCACAGAUAAAGAAUGAAACUUAUUCAUUACCUGUAGCCAAUUUGAUGUUUUGCUUAGGUUCACAUUUGUCAUGUCAAGAAACUUUAGGAAUGAAAAACUAGAAAUCCAUUCAAGAUCCUCAGCAUUCAAAGAAUUUCUAUGGUCGUAAUAAGAAUUCCCAAUGUCGAGAUAAUGCAACUUGGAUAAAUUUCCAAGUUGAUGAGGAAUAACACCACCAAAACUUGCAGUAGAGAGGUUAAGAUAUCUUAAAUUGGAUAAGGAACCAAGGAAUUUUGGAAUAUUAAGGCUCCCAAAGUCAUUGCAACUCAGGUCCAAGUAUUGAAGAUGCUUCAAGUCCAACAAAGAACUACUUAUCUCACCACCCAGAGAACCAUGAUAUUGAUAAAGAUCCCAUCGGAGGUUGAGCUUGAGAACAUGUCCUGUUGUGUUGUGACAACAAACUCCUUCCCAAUUACAACACUCUUCACUGGCCCAAGAAGAGAGUCUGUUUGAAGGAUCAUGAAUGCCUCUUUUGAAGCUCAAAAGAGCUUCUCUUUCUUCUUCUCUGCAAAGAGCCUUCGAACCAUGUCCAUCACAACAACCGAACUUUGUGGCUAGAGUGAAAAGAAAAUAGAGCGAGAGAACCACCAAACCUCUCAUGUACAACUCCAUUAGGCUAGAUGAUUUUAGAGCACACAAUGUGAAAGGUUUCAAGGAUUAUUUAAUAUUUAUAGUCAUUAGAGGCAUGACCCACAAGACUAUAGUGUUGUCUUAUUUCUAAAAAUUUCUAACAUUGAGAGCUCAAUUAUUGUAUUAAAAAAGGAUGGUUGUGGAGUGUGGACUAGUUGUGUGCAUGGAUAAAUUUCAUGUAAAAGAAAAUACAUGAAAUGACAUAAUUAAUUACAUAUGUAAAAUGAAUCCUAUUAGUAUUUUUUUAUUCUUAUCAUUUUCCAUGUUAUUUAAAUAUGUGAAAAUCAUUUUUUUUUUAUAUUUUUCUCAUUUAUUUAACUAGUAUUUUUUAGGAACCAAACAUGGUAUUAAACUUAUAUAGAAUAAGUUUAUUACAUAAAUCAUCUAUAAAAAAAAUUCAUACAAAUGAUGGCUAAUAAUAUAUAUAUUAUUGAAUUAUUGUCCAUAGAAGGAUGACUCAACUCUCCUGCCGUGUUUGACUUGCAAGGAAUAUUGAGAGUGACCGUGACAAAAUUUUCCACAAAAAGAAGAAAAAAUGACAAUAUAAUCUUGUCCUCUUUUGUGUUUGCAAUUAGGCUGGGCCAUGCUAUUCAACACCAAUUAAUCACCCAAUCUAUUUAUAUAUUCAUAUCUGCAUAAAAUUAAACUUCACAUAUACAUCUAAUUAAAGGACAUUUAUUCCUCUAUUUGCAUACAUAAUAAUCCAAAUUAUAUAUUUUAGUUAUUUGGGUGAAUUUUCCAUAUAGUUGGGAACAAGUAAUAAAAAAUAAUGAAAAAAAAAGUCAACUAUUUAUCUUCCUUCAUGAUCAUGGAUAGAGCAAAAUAAAACUAGGAAAGAAUUCAAAUUCUUUUAUUUGGUUGGGAGGAAGAAUAUUAAAGGAAAAGUUAAAUUUGAUCAGAAUUAUGUAAAACAAUAUAUGUAUUUUAAAAUUCUUUAUUAUUUAUAUGACAACAAAAAAAACAAAUUUUAAAAUCAUGUGGAAAAAAAUUAUUAAUAUAUAAACAUAUUUAUAAAUAAAUAAAUAUUUAUUUAUUUAUUUUAUUUCUUUAAUUUUUUUUAUUUCAUUUUUUCCACUGUGUAUACCUUCAUCUAAAAUAAGUAAAUAUACAUUUCAACCCUUUUAUAUAAGAAAAAUUCAAUCUCUACUAUGUAUUGAUAUAAUCCACUUCUAAAAUUAGGUUAUAUGAAAACAUUUUAAUUGAGUACUUAAAAUAAAAACUCUCCAUCCAUCCUCUUUAUUUCUUUUUUUUUUUCUUAUUUUAAUAAGUUUUCAAUUAAUUCAAAUCAUUAAAAAAAUCCUUAAUAAAUAAAUUUGUAACAUUUCAUAUAACUUAUUAUUAAAAGUCAUGUUCAAAAAGUUAUUAAAAUAAGGAAGGAAGAAGAUUAAAAAAAAAUUAAACUUUUUAUUUUAUAAUAGUAAAAAAAAAGUUUAAAAUACUUUUUAGUAUAAAAAAAAUUAAAAUAGUGAAUCUAUUUAUUUUAAAUGGUAUUUGAAUCAUUAAAUUAUUUACUUCUAAAAUGUAAAAGAUAAAAAUAAAUGUAAAAUAUAAUUUUUAUUUAUUUAAAUUAAUAUUUUUUAAAAAAGUAUUUUCCAAAAUAGUCUUUGGAUCAUUAAUAUAAUUUUUAUUUAUUUAUAAUUUAAAAAUAAAAAAUAAUGUUAAAUUUUCAAUUAUUUAUAAAAGAGUUUAAAAAAAUAAUGAAAAAUCUAAUAUAGUUAAAUAAGAAAGAAUAGUGGCAAGUAGUAGGAUAAAAACAAAAAUGAGUCAAGUGAUAUUUUUGUUAAUUAUUAUCACAUAAUUACAGAUGAUUGGAGGAUUUUAUCUUAAUUAGAGAGAGAGAGAGAGAGAGAGAGAGAGAGAGAGAGAGAGAGAGAGAGAGAGAGAGAGAGAGAGAGAGAGAGAGAGAGAGAGAGAGAGAGAGUUUAAAAUAUCAAGAAUUAUUUGUGGUUGUAGAAGCAUGACUCUUUGUCCCAUUUUCUCCAAUUUUGUUGAGCAUUAAAAUUUUUGAAAUUGAAUUAUUGUCCUUAGAAGGAUGACUCAACUCUCUUGCCAUGCUUGACUUGCAAGUAAUGAGAGUGACCGUGACAAAAUUUUCCAUGAAAAAUGCAACAAGGCAAUCUAACACGUCUUUAUGCUGGGGGGUCAUCAUAGAAACAGUACACUCACUAUUUAUUAUAUUAAAAUAAAUAUAUUUGAUAAAUAAUUAAAAUAUUAUAAUUUUUUUUUAAGUAGAAAAAUAUAGGAUAAGACAAAAUAAUAUCUAAACCCACCCGAAUCCAACCCGAGUAUUAAAAAAAUCUCAAACCCACUGCAAACGUGUAUUCAAAUUUCAAAUUUGUCCUACGGAGUGGAAAAAACCCGCCCGGGACAGUUGCCAAAUCUGACUAGCAAAGAGUGUGGAAAGAUUUUCAGUGGUUGGAUUUGGCUUUUUAGGCGUUAGGUUUAGUGGUUGACUUGGAAAUGUGAUGCGCAUUAUUGAGGAUGCGCAAUAUAUCUAUAGAAACUUAGCCCAAUCAACAAGAUGGGGCUGUGAGUGGAGAAAAAAGCUAUGAAUUCUACUCAUAUUGUCGAUGAAAAAUUUGAGAAGAAACAUGAUGAUGUUUUUGGUAUAGUUGAUAAAAAAUUUAUUGACUAUUAAAUUUUACAUUCUAAAUGUUUUUUUUUUCAUGUGUUGGUAUAAGAAGUGGUUUGAUAUCUAUAGGAAUGUAAUGCUAAUAUUAUUUAAGUGGGCAAUGAUUCAAAAUUUAAAUUCAUAGUGAUUGGUACCAUAAAAGUGAGAGUGCUUAAUGGUGUUGUAAGGACAUCGAGUAAUUUUUUUUUCUCGGUGAAGAAUGAUAUUAUAAAUUUCAACAAAAGUGCUUUGAUAGCUAUGAAAGGGGAAAAGAUGAAAAAAUUAUGUACUUUAAUUGGAAAGAUAAUUUACGGUAGAGCUCUUAAGGUGGAGUCAUGCCAUGAAGAGUCUUUUACUGGUGUUAAAGAAAUUUUCAAGAGUAGAUGAACAUGAUAAGAUGAUUAGAACACUAUUUUUCGGCUAAAAGUACCCAUUGACAUAAGGAUGAAAGCAAUUUCAAAAUAAAUAAAGUAAUGAAGAAGACAAAGGCGGUUUCUAGAGUCGGGUUCAAUGAGAGUUUGAACUUGACAUAUGUUUAUUCUCAUUAAAUGUAUAGGAUUAAGAAAACUUAAGUCGAGAUGGAGAUUGUUGGUAUUUAACUGAAACUAUUUAUUUUUAAUUUUUAAGAAAGUUAAUAUUUAUAGAAGUUGUAUUUUUGUAAAUUAUUUAUUAACAAAAAGUAAUUGGAGCCGUUUGGAGCAAUAAGAAAAUUGUUUGCUAAGUUUGUAACUAGAUGCAUAAAAAUUCAUGCAUAUUUCAAUAUCAUUAAAAUUAGUUAAAAACUUUUGCAUUUUCCAAUUAUUUCAUUGUUAUAUAAAAGAAUUAAAACAGAUGAGAUGAGUUUAAAGUGACAUACAAAAUAAAUAAUUAAAUUUAAAUUUAUAGUUUUCUUUUUUAUUUUAUUAUUUUUACUUUUGCCUUUAUUUUUUUCUUUCACAUUUUUUUAAGAACCAAACAUGAACUUUAUAUGAAAUUCCCCAUAAAAAUAAAUAAUAAAAAAAGUAAAAAAUCGUAAGUUAAUGAAUCACAAUACUAAAAGUGUGUUUAACAGUGAUUACAUCAAACUUUUUUAAUAUUUUUAACAUUUGAAAAUUUUUAUCUUUUUAAGUGUCAGAAGGAUAAAAAACGCUUUCGACAAUCAUUGUUAAACAGGCUUUAAAGAUCUAUCUUAACUAACCAUUCCCUUCCAUAAUUACCAUAUUUUUCAUAAGUAAGAUGAAUUUUACAAAUACACAAUGUUAUUCACAAUGGAAGAAAUAUCAAAUAUAAAAACUCAUGUUUCUUCAAAUUAGGAUAUCAUUUCGAAGUUUUAGCGAUGAGGCUUUGGUAAAGUAGAUUGGGGCUGUGUGAGGGAGAGUAGAGACGAAGUGACUCGAUUUGGGUCUUUGACACGUUUUUAUUCCAUGCCAUGUCAUCCUCCAGCUUGGUAUCCAAUUCAGAUACUCAUUGAAGCUUAGGCGUGAAACUCUUCAAAGGGGAUUGUUCUUCAACUUUAGCCUUUUUUGUAUUGCCACUAACCACUAAAUAGGCGGAUUUUAGAAAAUGAAUACAGUAUUUUUUAAAAUAUGAUAAUUAAAAAAUUAUUUCCAAUUCCAUGACAAUUUGUAUGAUUUUUUUUUUUUUAAUACAUCAUUGGAAAACACAAGAAAACGACGUCGUUCGAAGCAGAACUGUAAAGCGCCCUUCGGCCUAGCAUCGACUCUCUUCACUGCAAUCGGUGGCUUUUGCGGUCUCUCUCUAGCUCUAGGUAUCAGAUCUCUUCGUUUAUUAAAAUUUUUCUUUGUUUGUUUGAUGAGAAACUAAAAGAAAAUGAGAUAGAUGGAAUGUUCUGAAUCCUAAAGUUUUCAUCAUUUACACCUGGUGGAAACAGAAUCUUCCCCUAAAUUAGCGUUGUAUGAGUAUUUAGCUGAAUUUAGAAUUUUCAAUUUCUUUUCUUUUCCUUAAUUUUAUCAGCACCCAAGCAGUCAUUUAGGGUUUUUCUGGCUUGAGAUAUUGGCAUUUGAUCUAUUUGAUUUUUAUUCUAGUUCAGAAAAAUGUAAAUAUAUUUGCUAAAGAAUUAGAAUAACCAAAAAUUGAUCAUGGAAUUGAGCUAAAAAUUUUCCGGUGCUGCAGAAACUUCAAAAACAAAAAAGUUUGUGUCUCGUCUUAAUUCACAUCCAUAUUUAGCGUUGUUGGGUGAAUUCAUCAAUAAGGAAAAAUGCAGUUCUUUGGAGGGUCGGAGAUCAGCCCAUUGCCGCCGCUGCCAACAGCAUCGGGAAACAAUGCCCACAUAAUGUAUGUGUUUAACAGGAAUGGGGUGUGCUUGCUUUACAGGGAAUGGAAUCGCCCUCUUAGGACUCUGAAUGCCCAGCAAGACCAUAAGCUCAUGCUUGGUCUCCUUUUCUCUCUGAAGUCCUUAACAGCUAAGAUGGAUCCCACUAGUUAUAUCUUCUUCCUAGUCUUUUAUUCGAAUUGGAACUGUUUUCGGGGUGUUUAGGUGUUUUGUGGAAAUGGAAUUACUUGAUUUUGUAUUUGGAUAACUUUUGAAAGCAUAAAUUCAUUGUUUGGAAUACAAUUAUAACAUAUAUGUAAGAAGAAAGAAAUCAGGAUGAGCAAAAGGACAUAAUUUGAACUGAUAAAUUCAAACUUGGGAUCAGUAAAAAAAACAUGGAAAACAAGGUUGCCAAAUUUAUUUGCAAUUACAAACACCAUCCGAGUAGUUUAUACUUCACGUCGUCCAGCAACCGAAAAUAAGCAUGUCUCCAAGCUCUGUUGAAUGCUAAUGGAGCCAAAAUGGCCCAAAAGCCAACCACGAAACCCCAUGGCAUACCCAAAUAGAACCAUUUCAUAUCAAUCCAUCCAUUGUCCUCUUCAUCAUCAUUGUCCGGAAUUGGACCUUUUGGUUUACCAUCUUCCCCACAACCAUCAGUCAGUGGAGCUCCACAAAGCUCCGGGUUGCCAAUGAAACUGAGGGGACUAAAGCCUUGGAUCUGGGUGCCUGAUGGAAUUUUGCCAGACAAGUUGUUGUAUGACAAAUUUAAAUUGCUCAAAAAUGAUAUAUUUGCCAUACCUUGAGGAAUAACACCAGAGAGUCUAUUCAUGGAGAGAUCAAGAGACUCCAGUGAUGUCAUGGCCCCAAUCUUCACAGGAAUCUUCCCUUGGAGAUGGUUAUUAGACAGGUUCAAGAAUAUCAACCCAUGGAGAUCUGUGAGUUCUUCUGGGAUCUCACCAGAUAACUUAUUGCUUGAGAGGUCCAUGCCAGCUAGGAGGCCAAGUGUAUUGUCGUACUCGUACUCUACUCCUUUCAUAACCAGUGUUGCUGUGUCGGUUGAUUCCGAUUCAAAAUAACGUUCAUUAUGAAAAGGAAAUGGGGAACUUGAAUUCGAUUGUUUGGUCAUGCUGCUGAAAUUACUAAAGCAUCUAGGAAUGGUUCCCGAGAGAUUGUUGUUUCCCAAGUCCAGGAUUUGAAGGGAAUCAAGGUGGCAGAGUUCAAGAGGAAUACUUCCAGUGAACUUAUUUGAAUGAAGGACAAGAACCAUUAGACCCGGUGUAUAUGCAAUCUCACCAUCCACUGGUAAUGUUUCAAUGAACUUUCCAUCGAAGUUCCCCAUCCAUGCUGGUAUCGUCCCAGUGAAUUCAUUCUUACUAAGGUCUAGAACCACUAGACUAGAGCAAUUUUUCAAUGGAAGUGGAAAAUUUCCGGAGAGAUGGUUGUUGCGCAAGUGCAAUGAACCGAGCCAAAUUAGAGAACCCAUGGAGCUAGGUAUAUGUCCCGUCAGAUUAUUAUUUCCCAAUUUUAACAUCGUCAAUUCUCUCCAAUACAUCCAACAAUUGGGAAGUUCUCCUGACAGAAGAUUUCCUGAGAUGUCUAGAGACUCCAAUAAAUUUACUUCUUUAUCAGUUCUCCGACACAACAUGGGUGAAAGAGAUCCACAGAAUAAAUUAUUGGAGAGGUCUAGUCUUUCUACAUCAGAAGAGAUUUGGGGCAGUGGAUCAGUGAAAUUGUUUGAGCCAAGAUUGAUUGAUGCAAAAUGUAAACUUGGAAUUCUACCAGAGAUUUGGUUGUGAGACAGAUCAACUGUAUCAAAGGAUCGUGUCCAAAACCAAGCUGGGAUGACACUAGAGAUUCCUGCAUAGGACAUGUUUAGAUCUUUCAAAUACUUCUGUGUUUGAAGCCAUGCAGGAAAUUGAGGCCCUGGAGCUGACUUGCAAAGUUAACAAGUUUGAAGAUGCAUCCAAUUCUUCUAAACUUGUUAGAUUGGCAAGGAGCUUUUCAGAUAUUAUACCCUCGAAGAAGUUUUCCUUAAUGCUUAGAUAACGCAAGGAUGAAAUUCCUCCUAAUGAGACAGGAAUCUGACCAGAAAACGAGUUUCCAUCAAUAGAAAGAGAGGACAAGCUUUCUAAUUGACCAAGUUCAUUGGGCAAAUGACCUGAAAGCUGAUUCAUUCCCAAGUCUAAACCCUCUAAACUUUUACAUUCCCCAAGAGUAUCCGGAAAAGAACCUGAAAGUUUAUUUCCCCUCAAGCUUAAAAACUCUAGACUUUUUCUAGGCCUAUCAUAUGACAAAUUCGAAAGUUGGAAAGUACAAAGAUUUCCAAGAGAUCUCAGCACGUCUCCUUCAAGAGCAUUGUAUGAUAGGUCAAGAUAUGUGAUAGAAGUGAGAUUUCCAAUAUCAUUUGGAAGCUUACCUUGAAACUUGUUAGAUACAAUGUCAAGGGAUCCAAGAUCGAGGUGUUCAAGGCUAGUUAUAUGAUAUAACCAAUCAGGAAUAGAAGAAGCAAAAUUGUUAUAGGAAAGAUCUAGGAAUCUAAGAGAAGUCAUGUUACGAAGACCUGAUGGAAUUGGACCUUGAAUAUAACUAGAUGCUAGAUUAAGAGUAACAAGAGAAUUAAGAUUCGCAAACCAAUCAAAUGAUGAAGACAUAAAAUAAUUAAUUGAAAGGUCAAGGAUGACUAAAGAUGAAAAAUUGACAUGCGGGAGAGGGUCAAUAGUAUGAAGCUCACAAUAAGACAAGCGUAGCACAGAUAAAGAAUGAAACUUAUUCAUUACUUGUAGCCAAUUUGAUGCCUUGCUUAGGUUCACAUUUGUCAUGUCAAGAAACUCUAGGAAUGAAAGACCAAAAAUCCAUUCAAGAUCCUCAGCAUUCAAAGAAUUGCUAUGGUCGUAAUAAGAAUUCCCAACGUCGAGAUAAUGCAACUUGGAUAAAUUUCCAAGUUGAUGAGGAAUAACACCACCAAAACCUGCAGUAGAGAGGUUAAGAUAUCUUAAAUUGGAUAAGGAACCAAGGAAUUUUGGAAUAUUAAGACUCCCAAAGUCAUUGCAGCUCAGGUCCAAGUAUUGAAGGUGCUUCAAGUCCAACAAAGAACUACUUAUCUCACCACCCAAAGAACCAUGAUCUUGAUAAAGAUCCCGUCGGAGGUUGAGCUUGAGAGCAUGUCCUGUUGUGUUGUGACAACGAACUCCUUCCCAAUUACAACACUCUUCAUUGGCCCAAGAAGAGAGUCUGUUUGAAGGAUCAUGAAUGCCUCUUUUGAAGCUCAAAAGAGCUUCUCUUUCUUCUUCUCUGCAAAGAGCCUUCGAACCAUGUCCAUCACAACAACCGAACUUUGUGGCUAGAGUGAAAAGAAAAUAGAGCGAGAGAACCACCAAACCUCUCAUGUACAACUCCAUUAGGCUAUAUGAUUUUAGAGCACACAAUGUGAAAGGUUUCAAGAAUUAUUUAAUAUUUAUAGUCAUUAGAGGCAUGACCCACAAGACUAUAGUGUUGUCUUAUUUCUAAAAAUUUCUAACAUUGAGCGCUCAUAAUUAAUUACAUAUGUAAAAUGAAUCCUAUUAGUAUUUUUUUUAUUCUUAUCAUUUUCCAUGUUAUUUAAAUAUGUGAAAAUCAUUUUUUUUUUCUCAUUUAUUUAACUAGUAUUUUUUAGGAACCAAACAUGGUAUUAAACUUAUAUAGAAUAAGUUUGUUACAAAUCAUCUAUAAAAAAAAAAAUUCAUACAAAUUAUGGCUAAUAAUAUAUAUAUUAUUGAAUUAUUGUCCAUAGAAGGAUGACUCAACUCUCCUGCCGUGUUUGACUUGCAAGGAAUAUUGAGAGUGACCGUGACAAAAUUUUCCACAAAAAGAAGAAAAAAUGACAAUAUAAUCUUGUCCUCUUUUGUGUUUGCAGUUAGGCUGGGCCAUGCUAUUCAACACCAAUUAAUCACCCAAUCUAUUUAUAUAUUCAUAUUUGCAUAAAAUUAAACUUCACAUAUACAUCUAAUUAAAGGACAUUUAUUCCUCUAUUUGCAUACAUAAUAAUCCAAAUUAUAUAUUUUAGUUAUUUGGGUGAAUUUUCCAUAUAGUUGGGAACAAGUAAUAAAAAAUAAUGAAAAAAAAAGUCAACUAUUUAUCUUCCUUCAUGAUCAUGGAUAGAGCAAAAUAAAACUAGGAAAGAAUUCAAAUUCUUUUAUUUGGUUGGGAGGAAGAAUAUUAAAGGAAAAGUUAAAUUUGAUCAUAAUUAUGUAAAACAAUAUAUGUAUUUUAAAAUUCUUUAUUAUUUAUAUGACAACAAAAAAAACAAAUUUUAAAAUCAUGUGGAAAAAAGUUAUUAAUAUAUAAACAUAUUUAUAAAUAAAUAUUUAUUUAUUUAUUUUCUUUAUUUCUUUAAUUUUUUUAUUUCAUUUUUUCCACUGUGUAUACCUUCAUCUAAAAUAAGUAAAUAUACCUUUCAACCCUUUUAUAUAAGAAAAAUUCAAUCGUUACUAUGUAUUGAUAUAAUCCACUUCUAAAAUUAGGUUAUAUGAAAACAUUUUAAUUGAGUACUUAAAAUAAAAACUCUUCAUCCAUCCUCGGUAUUUCUUUUUCUUUUUCUUAUUUUAAUAAAUUUUCAAUUAAUUCAAAUCAUUAAAAAAAAUCCUUAAUAAAUAAAUUUAUAACAUUUCAUAUAACUUAUUACUAAAAGUCAUGUUAAAAAAGUUAUUAAAAUAAGGAAAGAAGAAGAUUAAAAAAAAAUUAAACUUUUUAUUUUAUAAUAGUAAAAAAAACUUUAAAAUACUUUUUAGUAUAAAAAAUUUAAAAUAGUGAAUAUAUUUAUUUUAAAUGGUAUUUUAAUCAUUAAAUUAUUUACUUCUAAAAUGUAAAAGAUAAAAAUAAAUGUAAAAGAUAAUUUUUAUUUAUUUAAAUUAAUAUUUUUUUAGAAAGCAUUUUCUCUUUGGAUCAUUAAUAUAAUUUUUGUUUAUUUAUAAUUUAAAAAUAAAAAAUAGUGUUAAAUUUUCAAUUAUAUCAAUUAUCCCAUUUCUAAAAUUCUUUACUCAAUUAUUGAAUUCAAAAAGGACGGCUGUGGAAGAAAUAACAUUGAUUUCACAGAGAGAGAGAGAGAGAGUUUAAAAUAUCAAGAAUUAUUUGUGGUUUUACAAGCUUCUCCAAUUUUGUUGAGCAUUAAAAUUUUUGAAAUUGAAUUAUUGUCCUUAGAAGGAUGACUCAACUCUUUGACAAAAUUUUCCAUGAAAAAUGCAACAAGACAGUCUAACACGUCUUUAUGCUGGGCUGGGCUGGGCUGGAGGGGGGUCAUCAUAGAAACAGUACACUCACUAUUUAUUAUAUUAAAGUAAAUAUAUUUGAUAAAUAAUUAAAAUAUUAUAAUUUUUUUUUUAAAAUAGAAAAAUAUAGGAUAAGACAAAAUAAUAUCUAAACCCACCCGAAUCCAACCCGAGUAUUAAAAAAUUUUCAAACCCACCGCAAACGUGUAUUCAAAUUUCAAAUUUGUCCUACAGGGUGGAAAAAACCCGCCCAGGACAGUUGCCAAAUCUGACUAGCAAAGAGUGUGGAAAGAUUUUCAGUGGUUCGAUUUGGCUUUUUAGGUGUUAGGUUUAGUGGUUGACUUGGAAAUGUGAUGCACAUUUUUGAGGAUGUGUCUUUAUAAUAUUAUUAUAUCUAUAGAAACUUAGCCCAAUCAACAAGAUGGGGCUGUGAGUGGAGAAAAAAGCUAUGAAUUCUACUCAUAUUGUCGAUGAAAAGUUUGAGAAGAAACAUGAUGAUGUUUUUGGUAUAGUUGAUAAAAAAUUUAUUGACUAUUAAAUUUUACAUUUUAAAUGUUUUUUUUUUCAUGUGUCGGUAGUUUGAUAUCUAUAGGAAUGUAAUGCUAAUACCAUUUAAGGGGGCAAUGAUUCAAAAUUUAAAUUCAUAAUGAUUGAUACCAUAAAAGUGAGAGUGUUUAAUGGUGUUGUAAGGACAUCGAGUAAUUUUUUUUGGGAGCUUUGGAAACAUUAGGCUAUGAUUUUUCUCGGUGAAAAAUGAUAUUAUAAAUUUCAACAAAAGUGCUUUGAUAGCUAUGAAAGGGGAAAAGAUGAAAAAAUUAUGUACUUUAAUUGGAAAGAUAAUUUAAGGUAGAGCUCUUAAGGUGGAGUCAUGCCAUGAAGAGUCUUUUACUGGUGUUAAAGAUAUUAUCGAGAGUAGAUGAACAUGAUAAGAUGAUUAGAACUCUAUUUUUCGGCUAAAAGUACCCAUUAACAUAAGGAUGAAAGCAAUUUCAAAAUAAAUAAAAUUAUGAAUAAAACAAAGAUGAUUUCAAUGAGAGUUUGAACUUGACGUAUGUUUAUUCUCAUUAAAUGUAUAGGAUUAAGAAAACUUAAGUCGAGAUGGAGAUUGUUGGUAUUUAACUCAAACUAUUUAUUUUUAAUUUUUAAGAAAGUUAAUAUUUAUAGAAGUUGCAUUUUUGUAAAUUAUUUAUUAACAAAAAGUAAUUGGAGCCGUUUGGAGCAAUAAGAAAAUUGUUUGCUAAGUUUGUAACUAGAUGCAUAAAAAUUCACGCAUAUUUCAAUAUCAUUAAAAUUAGUUAAAAACUUUUGCAUUUUCCAAUUAUUUCAUGGUUAUAUAAAAGAAUUGAAACAUAUGAGAUGAGUUUAAAGUGACAUACAAAAUAAAUAAUUAAAUUUAAAUUUAUUGUUUUCUUUUUUAUUUUAUUUUUUCUACUUUUGCCUUUAUUUUUUUCUCUCACAUUUUCCUCACAUUUUUUGAAGAAUCAAACAUGAACUUUAUAUGAAGUUCCCCAUAAAAAUAAAAAAUAAAAAAAGUAAAAAAUCGUAAGUUGAUGAAUCACAAUACUAAAAGUGCGUUUAACAGUGAUUACAUGAAACGUUUUUAAUAUUUUUAACACUUGAAAAUUUUUAUCUUUUUAAGUGUUAGAAGGAUAAAAAACGCUUUCGACAAUCAUUGUUAAACAGGUUUUAAAGAUCUAUCUUAACUAACCAUUCCCUUUCAUAAUUAUCAUAUUUUUCAUAAGUAAGAUGAAUUUAACAAAUACACAAUGUUAUUCACAAUGGAAGAAAUAUCAAAUAUAAAAACUCAUUUUUCUUCAAAUUAGGAUAUCAUUUCAAAGUUUUAGUGAUGAGGCUUUGGUAAAGUAGAUUGGGGCUGUGUGAGGGAGAGUAGAGACGAAGUGACUCGAUUUGGGUCUUUGACACGUUUUUAUUCCAUGCCAUGUCAUCCUCCGGCUUGGCAUCCAAUUGAGAUACUCAUUGAAGCUUGGGCGUGAAACUCUUCAAAGGGGAUUGUUCUUCGGACUUUUCUCAAUAGUGCAGUAAUUUAAAAAAGUUAUUCUUAAAUUACUAUAGUGGAAGAAGUUAUUACAAAUAUAGGGUAGUUUUUGCCACAUAGGAGAGAGGAGAGAGGAGAGAGGGUGAGAGAGAGGAGAGAGGAGAGAGGAGAGAGGAGAUAGGAGAUAGGAGAGAGGAGAGAGGAGAUAGGAGAUAGGAGAUAGGAGAGAGGAGAGAGGGUGAACGAUAAAAUUUUUUAAAAAAGCGAACUCGUCUCUUGAAGAGACGAGUUCCAUGAAAGAUAAUUAUUCAAGGAAACUCAUCUCUUCAAGAGACGAGUUCCCAUUAAAAAAAAAUAUAUAUAUUUUUAAAAAAUUCACAAAUUAAAAAAAAUAAAAUAAAAUUUGGAACUAAAGGGAACUCGUGUGAAGAGACGAGUUCCCAUGGGAAAAAAAAUAUAUUAUUUUUUAAAAAUAUAUUUUUCAUUUAAAAAAAAUCCCAAAAAAAAAAAAAAUCCUAAAGGAACUCGUCUCUUGAAGAGACGAGUUCCUUGGGAAAAAAAAUAUUUUUUUUUAAAAAUAUAUUUUUUAUUUUAAAAAAUCCCAAAUUUAAAAAAAAAAAAAAAAAAAAAAAAACACAAUUCCAAAGGGAACUCGUCUCUUCAAGAGACGAGUUCCCAUGUAAAAAAAAAAUAUUUUUUUAAAUAUAUAUUAAAAAAAAAAAAAAAAACAAUUCCUAAAGGGAACUCGUCUCUUCAAGAGACGAGUUCCCAUGUAAAAAAAAAAUAUUUUNNNNNNNNNNNNNNNNNNNNNNNNNNNNNNNNNNNNNNNNNNNNNNNNNNNNNNNNNNNNNNNNNNNNNNNNNNNNNNNNNNNNNNNNNNNNNNNNNNNNAAAAAAAAAAUUUUUUUUUUAAUAUUUUUUUAAAAAAAAAAAAAAAACAAUUUUUAAUAGGAACUUGUUUUUUCAAGAGAGGGGUUUCCCUGUAAAAAAAAAAAAUUUUUUUUUAAAAUUUUUUUUUUUAAAAAAAAAAAUUCCAGGGGGGGGUUCAAAAAAAAAAUAUUUUUUUUAAAAUUUUUUUUUUUUUUUAAAAAAUCCCCAAUUUAAAAAAAAAAAAAAAAAAAAAAAACAAUUCCUCAAAAUUCCUAAAGAAGAGACGAGUUCCCAUGUAAAAAAAAUAUUUUUUUUUAAAUAUAUAUAUAUAUAUAUAUAUAUAUAUAUAUAUAUAUAUAUAUAUAUAUAUAUAUAUAUAUAUAUAAAAAAAAAUUUCAAGAGAUGAGUUCAAAAAAAAUAUUCUUUUUUUAAAAAAUAUAUUUUUUAUUUUAAAAAAUCCCAAAUUAAAAAAAAAAAAAAAAAACACAAUUCCAAAGGAAGAGACGAGUUCCCAUGUAAAAAAAAUAUUUUUUUAAAUAUAUAUUAAAAUAAAAAAAAAUUAAAAAAAAAAAAAAAAACAAUUCCUAAAGGGAACUCGUCUCUUCAAGAGUCGAGUUCCCAUGUAAAAAAAAAUAUUUUUUUUAAAAAUAUAUAUAUAUAAAAAAAAAUUUCAAGAGACGAGUUCAAAAAAAAUAUAUUUUUUUUAAAAAUAUAUUUUUUAUUUUAAAAAAUCCCAAAAUUAAAAAAAAAAAAAAAAAAAAAAACCAUUCCUCAAAAUUCCUAAAGAAAAAAGGUUUCCCCGUGAAAAAAAAAAAUUAUUUUUUUAAAAAANNNNNNNNNNNNNNNNNNNNNNNNNNNNNNNNNNNNNNNNNNNNNNNNNNNNNNNNNNNNNNNNNNNNNNNNNNNNNNNNNNNNNNNNNNNNNNNNNNNNGUUCCCCUGUAAAAAAAAAUAUUUUUUUUAAAAAUUUUUUUUUUUAAAAAAAAAUUUCCAGGGGGGGGUUCAAAAAAAAUUUUUUUUUUUUAAAAAUAUGUUUUUUUUUUUAAAAAAUCCCAAAACUAAAAAAAAAAAAAAAAAAAAAAACCGUUCCUCAAAAUUCCUAAAGAAGAAAUGAGUUCCCAUGUAAAAAAAAAUAUUUUUUUUAAAAAAUAUAUAUAUAUGUAAAAAAAAAAAAUUUCAAGAGGCGAGUUCAAAAAAAAUAUAUUUUUAAAAAAAUAUAUAUUUUUUAUUUUAAAAAAUUCCAAAUUUAAAAAAAAAAAAAAAAAAAAAACACAAUUCCAAAGGGAACUCGUCUCUUGAAGAGACGAGUUCCCAUGUAAAAAAAUAUAUAUAUAUAUAUUUUAAAUAUAUAUAUUAAAAAAAAAAAAAAACAAUUCCUCAAAAUUCNNNNNNNNNNNNNNNNNNNNNNNNNNNNNNNNNNNNNNNNNNNNNNNNNNNNNNNNNNNNNNNNNNNNNNNNNNNNNNNNNNNNNNNNNNNNNNNNNNNNCAAAUUUGGGGUUUUUUAAAAAAAAAAAAAUAUUUUUUAAAAAAAUUUUUUUUUUUCCUAAAAGGAACUUUGAAAUUUUUUUUUUUUUUUUUUUCAUGGGAACUUGUUUUUUCAAGAGGCGAGUUCCCCUUUGGAGGAAAUGUUUUUUUUUUUUUUUUUUUAAUAAAUAUAUUUAAAAAAAAAGUAUUUUUUUUUUUUACAUGGGAACUCGUCUUUUCAAGAGACGAGUUCCCUUUGGAAUUGUUUUUUUUUUUUUUUUAAUUUAGGAUUUUUAAAAUUUAAAAAUAUAUUUAAAAAAAAAUAUUUUUUUCCUAAAGGAACUCGUCUCUUGAAUAGACGAGUUCCCUUUAGGAAAUUUUUUUUUUCAAAUAUAUAUAUAUAUUUUUAAAAAAAAUAUUUUUUUUACAUGGGAACUCGUCUCUUGAAAAGACGAGUUCCCUUUGGAAUUGUGUUUUUUUUUUUUUUUUUUUUUUUUUUAAUUUGGGAUUUUUUAAAAUAAAAAAUAUAUUUAAAAAAAAUAUUUUAAAAAAAAAUAUUUUUUUUUCCAAGGAACUCGUCUCCCUUUAGGAAUUUUUUUUUUUAAAUAAAAAAUAUAUUUUAAAUAAAUAAUAUAUAUUUUUUCCUAUGGGAACUCAUCUCUUCAGACGAGUUCCCUUUAGUUCCAAAUUUUUUUUUUAAUUUGUGAAUUUUUUAAAAAUAUAUAUAUAUAUAUUUUUUUAAUUGGAACUCGUCUCUUGAAGAGACGAGUUUCCUUGAAUAAUUCUCUUUCAUGGAACUCGUCUCUUCAAGAGACGAGUUCAAGAGACGAGUUCGCUUUUUUAAAAAUUUUUAUUCCUUCACCCUCUCUCCUCUCUCCUAUCUCCUCUCUCCUCUCUCCUCUCUCUCACCCUCUCUCCUCUCUACUAUGUGGCAAAAACUACCCUAUAUUUGUAAUAACUUCUUCCACUACAGUAAUUUAAGAAUAACUUUUUUAAAUUAAUGCACUAUUGAGAAAAGUCCAUUGUUCUUCAACUUUAGCCUUUUUUUGUAUUGCCACUAACCACUAAAUAGGCGGAUUUUAGAAAAUGAAUACAGUAUUUUUAAAAAUAUGAUAAUUAAAAAAUUAUUUCCAAUUCCAUGACAAUUUGUAUGAUUUUUUUUUUUAAAUACAUCAUUGGAAAACACAAGAUAACGACGUCGUUCGAAGCAGAACUGUAAGGCGCCCUUCGGCCGAGCAUCGACUCUCUUCACUGCAAUCGGUGGCUUUUGCGGUCUCUCUCUAGCUCUAGGUAUCAGAUCUCUUCGUUUAUUAGAAUUUUUCUUUGUUUGUUUGAUGAGAAACUGAAAGAAAAUGAGAUGGAUGGAAUGUUCUGAAUCUUAAAGUUUUCAUCAUUUACACCUGGUGGAAACAGAAUCUUCCCCUAAAUUAGCGUUGUAUACGUAUUUAGCUGAAUUUAGAAUUUUCAAUUUCUUUUCUUUUCCUUAAUUUUAUCAGCAUCCAAGCAGUCAUUUAGGGUUUUUCUGGCUUGAGAUAUUGGCAUUUGAUCUAUUUGAUUUUUAUUCUUGUUCAGAAAAAUGUAAAUAUAUUUGCUAAAGAAUUAGAAUAACCAAAAAUUGAUCGUCUUAAUUCACAUCCAUAUUUAGCGUUGUUGGGUGAAUUCAUCAAUAAGGAAAAAUGCAGUUCUUUGGAGGGUCGGAGAUCAGCCCAUUGCCGCCGCUGCCAACAGCAUCGGGAAACAAUGGCCACAUGAUGUAUGUGUUUAACAGGAAUGGGGUGUGCUUGCUUCACAGGAAUGGAAUCGCCCUCUUAGGACUCUGAAUGCCCAGCAAGACCAUAAGCUCAUGUUUGGUCUGCUUUUCUCUCUUAAGUCCUUAACAGCUGAGAUGGAUCCCACUGAGUAUAUCUUCUUCCUAGUCUUUGAUUCGAAUUGGAACUGUUUUCGGGGAAAUGGAAUUACUUGAUUUUGUAUUUGGAUAACUUUUGAAAGCAUAAAUUCAUUGUUUGGAAUAGAAUUAUGACAUAUAUGUAAGAAGAAAGAAAUCAGGAUGAGCAAAAGGACAUAAUUUGAACUGAUAAAUUCAAACUCGGGAUGAUUAAAAAAAACAUGGAAAACAAGGUUGCCAAAUUUAUUUGCAAUUACAAACACCAUCCGAGUAGUUUAUACUUCACGUCAUCCAGCAACCGAAAAUAAGCAUGUCUCCAAGCUCUGUUGAAUGCUAAUGGAGCCAAAAUGGCCCAAAAGCCAACCACGAAACCCCAUGGCAUACCCAAAUAGAACCAUUUCAUAUCAAUCCAUCCAUUGUCCGGAAUUGGACCUUUUGGUUUACCAUCUUCACCACAAUCAUCAGUCAGUGGAGCUCCACAAAGCUCCGGGUUGCCAAUGAAACUGAGGGCACUAAAGCCUUGGAUCUGGGUGCCUGAUGGAAUUUUGCCAGACAAGUUGUUGUAUGACAAAUUUAAACUGCUCAAAAAUGAUAUAUUUGCCAUACCUUGAGGAAUAACACCAGAGAGUCCAUUCAUGGAGAGAUCAAGAGACUCCAGUGAUGUCAUGGCCCCAAUCUUCACAGGAAUCUUCCCUUGGAGAUGGUUAUUAGACAGGUUCAAGAAUAUCAAACCAUGGAGAUCUGUGAGUUCUUCUGGGAUCUCACCAGAUAACUUAUUGCUUGAGAGGUCCAUGCCAGCUAGGAGGCCAAGUGUUUUGUCGUACUCAUACUCUAUUCCUUUCAUAACCAGUGUUGCUGUGUCGGUUGAUCCCGAUUCAAAAUGUUCAUUAUGAAAACGAAAGGGGGAACUUGAAUUCAAUUCUUUGAUCAUGCUGCUGAAAUUACCAAAGCAUCUAGGAAUGGUUCCCGAGAGAUUGUUGUUUCCCAAGUCCAAGAUUUGAAGGGAAUGAAGGUGGCAGAGUUCAAGAGGAAUACUUCCAGUGAACUUAUUUGAAUGCAGGACAAGAACCAUUAGACCCGGUGUAUAUCCAAUCUCACCAACCCCUGGAAAUAUUUCAAUGAAGUUCCCCAUCCAUGCUGGUAUCGUCCCAGUGAAUUCAUUCUUACUAAGGUCUAGAACCAGUAGACUAGAGCAAUUUUUCAAUGGAAGUGGAAAAUUUCCGGAGAGAUGGUUGUUGCGCAAGUGCAAUGAACCGAGCCAAAUUAGAGAACCCAUGGAGCUAGGUAUAUGUCCCGUCAGAUUAUUAUUUCCCAAUUUUAACAUCAUCAAUUCUCUCCAAUACAUCCAACAAUUGGGAAGUUCUCCUGACAGAAGAUUUCCUGAGAUGUCUAGAUACCACAAUAAAUUUACUUUUUUAGUUCUCCGACACAACAUAGGUGAAAGAGAUCCACGGAAUAAAUUAUUGGAGAGGUCUAGUUCUUCUACAUCAGAAGAGAUUGGGGGCAGUGGACCAGUGAAAUUGUUUGAGCUGAGAUAGAUACAGGAUGAAUGUAAACUUGGAAUACUACCAAUGAUUUGGUUGUGAGAUAGAUCUACAAAAUAAUAGGGUCGUGUCCAAAACCAAGCUGGGAUGACACUGGAGAUUCCUGCAUAGGACAUGUUUAGAUAGUCCAAAUACUUCUGUGUUUGAAGCCAUGCAGGAAAUUGAGGCCCUAGAAGGCAAGAACCCAAGUCUAAGUCUGUGAGUUGAAAAGGAGGAGUCCAGUUGGAGCUGACUUGCAAAGUUAACAAGUUUGAAGAUGCAUCCAAUUGUUUUAAACUUGUUAGAUUGGCAAGGUGCUUUUCAGAUAUAAUACCCUCGAAGAAGUUUUCCCUAAUCUUUAGAUAACGCAAGGAUGAAAUUCCUCCUAAUGAGAUAGGAAUAUGACCAGAAAACGAGUUUCCAUCAAUAGAAAGAGAGGACAAACUUUUGAAUUGGCCAAGUUCAUUGGGCAAAUGACCUGAAAGCCGAUUUUUUGCCAGGUUUAAAUGUUCUAAACUUUUACAUUCUCCAAGAGUAUCUGGAAAAGAACCUGAAAGCUUAUUUCCUCUCAAGCUUAAAAACUCUAGACCUUUUCGAGGCCUAUCAUAUGAAGAAUUCGAAAGUUGAAAACUACAAAGAUUUCCAAGAGAUCUCAGCACGUCUCCUUCAAGAGCAUUGUUUGAUAGGUAAAGAUAUGUGAUAGAAGUGAGAUUUCCAAUAUCAUUUGGAAGCAUACCAUGAAAAUAGUUAUGUGUAAGAUCGAGGUAUUCAAGGCUAGUUAUAUGAUAUAACCAAUCAGGAAUAGGAGAAGCAAAAUUGUUAUAGGAAAGAUCUAGGAAUUUAAGAGAAGUCAUGUUACGAAGACCUGAUGGAAUUGGACCAUGAAUAUUACUGUAUGCUAGAUUAAGAGUAACAAGAGAAUUAAGAUUAGCAAACCAAUCAAAUGAUGAAGACAUAAAAUAAUUACUUGAAAGGUCAAGGAUGACUAAGGAUGAAAAAUUGACAUGCGGGAGAGGGUCAAAAGUAUCAAGCUCACAAUAAGACAAGCGUAGCACAGAUAAAGAAUGAAACUUAUUCAUUACCUGUAGCCAAUUUGAUGCCUUGCUUAGGUUCACAUUUGCCAUGUCAAGGAAUUUUAGGAAG
rnacentral:lncRNA from 1 species